rnacentral:rRNA from 1 species
CUCCGGUGAUCCCUGCCGGACCCGACUGCUAUCAGAGUGAGAUUAAGCCAUGCGAGUUAACGUAGCAAUACGUGGCGCACGGCUCAGUAACACGUAGUCAACAUGCCCAGAGGACGUGGAUAACCUCGGGAAACUGAGUCUAAACCGCGAUAAGUGAGGAUUUCUGGAAUGGUUCCUGACUAAAAUCUAUAUGGCCUCUGGAUUGGACUGCGGCCGAUCAGGCUGUUGGUGAGGUAAUGGCCCACCAAACCUGUAACCGGUACGGGCUCUGAGAGGAGGAGCCCGGAGAUGGGCACUGAGACAAGGGCCCAGGCCCUAUGGGGCGCAGCAGGCGCGAAACCUCUGCAAUAGGCGAAAGCCUGACAGGGUUACUCUGAGUGACUUUCGCUAAGAAAGUCUUUUGGCACCUCUAAAAAGGGUGCAGAAUAAGGGGUGGGCAAGUCUGGUGUCAGCCGCCGCGGUAAUACCAGCACCCCGAGUGGUCGGGACGAUUAUUGGGCCUAAAGCAUCCGUAGCCGGUUCUGCAAGUCUUCCGUUAAAUCCACCUGCUUAACAGAUGGGCUGCGGAAGAUACUAUAGAGCUAGGAGGCGGGAGAGGCAAGCGGUACUCGAUGGGUAGGGGUAAAAUCCGUUGAUCCAUUGAAGACCACCAGUGGCGAAGGCGGCUUGCCAGAACGCGCUCGACGGUGAGGGAUGAAAGCUGGGGGAGCAAACCGGAUUAGAUACCCGGGUAGUCCCAGCUGUAAACGAUGCAGACUCGGUGAUGAGUUGGCUUAUUGCUAACUCAGUGCCGCAGGGAAGCCGUUAAGUUUGCCGCCUGGGGAGUACGGUCGCAAGACUGAAACUUAAAGGAAUUGGCGGGGGAGCA